rnacentral:ribozyme from 1 species
UGCCCAGCAGCUCCUAUCCCUACCUCCUCGUGGUACUGGCCGGGGUACGAGUAACCUAAGGGAAGAUCGGGUAACCAACCCCCGGUGGGAACUUUGGUCGUAUGCUGACAGGGAAGG